rnacentral:rRNA from 1 species
UACGAAGGACCCGAGCGUUAUCCGGAUUUAUUGGGUUUAAAGGGCGCGUAGGCGUCCUGGAAAGUUACGGUUGAAAUCUCCUUGCUCAACAAGGAAACUGCCCGUAAAACUAUCAGGAUUGAGUACAUUUGAAGCGGGCGGAAUGUGUCAUGUAGCGGUGAAAUGCUUAGAUAUGACACAGAACACCAAUUGCGAAGGCAGCUCGCUAAACUGUAACUGACGCCGAGGCACGAAAGCGUGGGGAUCAAACAGG